CCUACGGGAGGCAGCAGUGGGGAAUAUUGCGCAAUGGGCGAAAGCCUGACGCAGCGACGCCGCGUGAGGGAUGAAGGUCUUCGGAUCGUAAACCUCUGUCAGCAGGGAAGAACGGUCACUGUGCUAAUCAGCAGUGAAUUGACGGUACCUGCAAAGGAAGCACCGGCUAACUCCGUGCCAGCAGCCGCGGUAAUACGGAGGGUGCGAGCGUUAAUCGGAAUUACUGGGCGUAAAGCGCUCGUAGGCGGUAUGUCAAGUCAAGGGUGAAAUCCCCGCGCUCAACGUGGGAACUGCCUUUGAAACUGGCAAACUGGAGUGUGGGAGAGGAGAGUGGAAUUCCAGGUGUAGGGGUGAAAUGCGUAGAUAUAUGGAGGAACACCAGUGGCGAAGGCGACUAUCUGGCACAUAACUGACGCUGAGGAGCGAAAGCGUGGGUAGCAAACAGGAUUAGAUACCCCGGUAGUC
rnacentral:rRNA from 1 species